rnacentral:sRNA from 1 species
UGGAAAGUUCAAAUUCCAAUGGGUAAGU